rnacentral:rRNA from 1 species
AGUGAACGCUGGCGGUAGGCCUAACACAUGCAAGUCGAACGGCAGCACAGUAAGAGCUUGCUCUUACGGGUGGCGAGUGGCGGACGGGUGAGGAAUACAUCGGAAUCUACUUUUUCGUGGGGGAUAACGUAGGGAAACUUACGCUAAUACCGCAUACGACCUACGGGUGAAAGCAGGGGAUCUUCGGACCUUGCGCGAUUGAAUGAGCCGAUGUCGGAUUAGCUAGUUGGCGGGGAAAAGGCCCACCAAGGCGACGAUCCGUAGCUGGUCUGGGAGGAUGAUCAGCCACACUGGAACUGAGACACGGUCCAGACUCCUACGGGAGGCAGCAGUGGGGAAUAUUGGACAAUGGGCGCAAGCCUGAUCCAGCCAUACCGCGUGGGUGAAGAAGGCCUUCGGGUUGUAAAGCCCUUUUGUUGGGAAAGAAAAGCAGCAGGUUAAUACCCCGCUGUUCUGACGGUACCCAAAGAAUAAGCACCGGCUAACUUCGUG